UACAGAGGUCUCAAGCGUUGUUCGGAUUCAUUGGGCGUAAAGGGUGCGUAGGUGGCGCCGUAAGUCGGGUGUGAAAUCUUGGAGCUUAACUCCGAAACUGCAUUCGAUACUGCCGUGCUUGAGGACUGGAGAGGAGACUGGAAUUUACGGUGUAGCGGUGAAAUGCGUAGAUAUCGUAAGGAAGACCAGUGGCGAAGGCGGGUCUCUGGACAGUUCCUGACGCUGAGGCACGAAGGUCAGGGGGAGCAAACGGGG
rnacentral:rRNA from 1 species